ACCACAUUCAGUGACGGAUGUCUUGGCUCGAGCAGCGAUGAAGGGCGCAGCGAACUGCGAUACGCAUUGUGAAUUGCAGAAUUCUGUGAAUCAAUAGAGACUUGAAUGYGSACUGCGUUUUUGGGACAUCCCUAAAAGCAGGCCUGCUUCAGUGUCCGU
rnacentral:rRNA from 1 species